rnacentral:lncRNA from 1 species
UUAUCUCUAAGAUUAGUUAUAACAGUUAAGAGGCUGAGUUUAACGCUCUAUGAAUUAGUUAUUACCUUACCUUGUUGUUGUUCUGCUAUUCGAAUUACUCCCACCUCAGUUUACUUUAGCUUCUUUGCUUCAUUCUUUGCCCAAUUCACUGAUUUUGCCGAAAAUGAGAGAAGUUUGGACAAAGUUUUGGUGAUGACUGAGUCCGACAAUUAAAGAAGAAGGAAAUGGAAUGGCACGGUGAUUAACUUGAAAUGAUUUGAAAGGGGGAGCGAGGGUUUCAAU